AAAUUGAAGAGUUUGAUCAUGGCUCAGAUUGAACGCUGGCGGCAGGCCUAACACAUGCAAGUCGGGCGGUAGCACAAGGGAGCUUGCUCCCUGGGUGACGAGCGGCGGACGGGUGAGUAAUGUCUGGGAAACUGCCUGAUGGAGGGGGAUAACUACUGGAAACGGUAGCUAAUACCGCAUAACGUCGCAAGACCAAAGAGGGGGACCUUCGGGCCUCUUGCCAUCGGAUGUGCCCAGAUGGGAUUAGCUAGUAGGUGGGGUAAAGGCUCACCUAGGCGACGAUCCCUAGCUGGUCUGAGAGGAUGACCAGCCACACUGGAACUGAGACACGGUCCAGACUCCUACGGGAGGCAGCAGUGGGGAAUAUUGCACAAUGGGCGCAAGCCUGAUGCAGCCAUGCCGCGUGUGUGAAGAAGGCCUUCGGGUUGUAAAGCACUUUCAGCGGGGAGGAAGGGGGCAGGCUUAAUACGCCUGUUCAUUGACGUUACCCGCAGAAGAAGCACCGGCUAACUCCGUGCCAGCAGCCGCGGUAAUACGGAGGGUGCAAGCGUUAAUCGGAAUGACUGGGCGUAAAGCGCACGCAGGCGGUCUGUUAAGUUGGAUGUGAAAUCCCCGGGCUUAACCUGGGAACUGCAUUCAAAACUGACAGGCUAGAGUCUCGUAGAGGGGGGUAGAAUUCCAGGUGUAGCGGUGAAAUGCGUAGAGAUCUGGAGGAAUACCGGUGGCGAAGGCGGCCCCCUGGACGAAGACUGACGCUCAGGUGCGAAAGCGUGGGGAGCAAACAGGAUUAGAUACCCUGGUAGUCCACGCUGUAAACGAUGUCGAUUUGGAGGUUGUGGUCUUGAACCGUGGCUUCCGGAGCUAACGCGUUAAAUCGACCGCCUGGGGAGUACGGCCGCAAGGUUAAAACUCAAAUGAAUUGACGGGGGCCCGCACAAGCGGUGGAGCAUGUGGUUUAAUUCGAUGCAACGCGAAGAACCUUACCUACUCUUGACAUCCAGAGAAGCCUGUAGAGAUACGGGUGUGCCUUCGGGAGCUCUGAGACAGGUGCUGCAUGGCUGUCGUCAGCUCGUGUUGUGAAAUGUUGGGUUAAGUCCCGCAACGAGCGCAACCCUUAUCCUUUGUUGCCAGCACGUGAUGGUGGGAACUCAAGGGAGACUGCCGGUGAUAAACCGGAGGAAGGUGGGGAUGACGUCAAGUCAUCAUGGCCCUUACGAGUAGGGCUACACACGUGCUACAAUGGCGUAUACAAAGAGAAGCGACCUCGCGAGAGCAAGCGGACCUCAUAAAGUACGUCGUAGUCCGGAUUGGAGUCUGCAACUCGACUCCAUGAAGUCGGAAUCGCUAGUAAUCGUAGAUCAGAAUGCUACGGUGAAUACGUUCCCGGGCCUUGUACACACCGCCCGUCACACCAUGGGAGUGGGUUGCAAAAGAAGUAGGUAGCUUAACCUUCGGGAGGGCGCUUACCACUUUGUGAUUCAUGACUGGGGUGAAGUCGUAACAAGGUAACCGUAGGGGAACCUGCGGUUGGAUCACCUCCUUACCGAG
rnacentral:rRNA from 1 species